rnacentral:tRNA from 1 species
UGGGGCGUCGACAAGCGGUAAGUCACCAGCCUUUGGAGCUGGCAUCGGAGGUUCGAAUCCUCCCGCCCCAG